UGGGGGAUAUUGCACAAUGGGCGAAAGCCGGAUGCAGCGACGCCGCGUGGGGGAUGAAGGCCUUCGGGUUGUAAACUUCUUUUGCUCUGAACAAGGCAUGCCUUUGGGGUGUGUUGAGUGUAGGGGUUGAUUAGCGCCGGCUAACUACGUGCCAGCAGCCGCGGUAAUACGUAGGGCGCGAGCGUUGUCCGGAAUUAUUGGGCGUAAAGGGCUUGUAGGUGGCUGGUUGCGUCUGUCGUGAAAGCUCAUGGCUUAACUGUGGGUUUGCGGUGGGUACGGGCUGGCUUGAGUGCAGUAGGGGAGGCUGGAAUUCCUGGUGUAGCGGUGGAAUGCGCAGAUAUCAGGAGGAAUACCGGUGGCGAAGGCGGGUCUCUGGGCUGUUACUGACGCUGAGGAGCGAAAGCGUGGGGAGCGAACAGG
rnacentral:rRNA from 1 species